AUUGAACGCUGGCGGAAUGCUUUACACAUGCAAGUCGAACGGCAGCACGGACUUCGGUCUGGUGGCGAGUGGCGAACGGGUGAGUAAUGUAUCGGGACGUGCCCAGUCGUGGGGGAUAACGUAGUGAAAAUUACGCUAAUACCGCAUACGAUCUAUGGAUGAAAGCGGGGGAUCGCAAGACCUCGCGCGAUUGGAGCGGCCGAUAUCAGAUUAGGUAGUUGGUGGGGUAAAGGCCCACCAAGCCAACGAUCUGUAGCUGGUCUGAGAGGACGACCAGCCACACUGGAACUGAGACACGGUCCAGACUCCUACGGGAGGCAGCAGUGGGGAAUUUUGGACAAGGGGCGAAAGCCUGAUCCAGCCAUUCCGCGUGCAGGAUGAAGGCCCUCGGGUUGUAAACUGCUUUUGUACAGAAUGAAAAGGUUUCUACUAAUACUAGGAGCUCAUGACGGUACUGUAAGAAUAAGCACCGGCUAACUACGUGCCAGCAGCCGCAGUAA
rnacentral:rRNA from 1 species